UAACAAAAACAUUUCUAUUAGAUUUUAUUAAUAGUAUAAUCUGCUCAAUGAUAUUAAAUAGCCGCUAUUACUGUGCUAAGGUAGCAUAAUCAUUUGUCUUUUAAUUAAAGACUAGAACAAAAGAUUGAACAUUUUAAUUAAUAUAUUUAAAUUAAUUAAUUAAAUUUAUUUUAAAUGUAAAAAAACAUUUAUAAAUUAGAAAGACGAUAAGACCCUAUUAAACUUAACUUAAGUUAAACUGGGGCAGUUAAUUAAUUAUUACUUUAAUUUAAAUUAAAAAAUAAAUAGAUCCUAUAAAAUAGAUUAAAUGAUCAAGUUACUAUAGGGAUAACAGCGUAAUAUUAAUUAAAAGAUCUUAUUUAAAUAAAAGAUUACGACCUCGAUGUUGAAUUAAUAACCUAUAUAGUUGCAAUAAACAAUAAAGG
rnacentral:rRNA from 1 species